AUGAUUAAUUUCAGAUCCUUUUACAACUCCUCUAGCAAUUUCAUGAUCCAAUUCAAACUUUUCAGUCUUCAUUCUUCAACACUUCGGAAACACGUUCACAAUCAGAAAUGAUCUCCUGCCUGAUUUUAUCACUAACCUCUAGCAAGGUGUUUGUUGCAGACGACUGGGUCAACACAGUCUGGUCUAAACGUAUUCACAUAGUAGACACAAGACUAACGCGAACCCAUUGAGGCUUUAGACUAGUCACUAACCCGGAUAUUUUGUAAUGGAUUCGUAUUGUGUUGUGUCAACAAAUUGCCGGUUCUAAUCUGAAAAACUAAAAUGCAAAUUUUGUUGAAAAAAGUGAACCGAAGUUAGCAACAAAACUGAGUGAUUCAGUUUAUUUCAAGUCAAAAUGAGUGGCUGCUGCAAAAAAAAAGUUAGCAAUCCAAUUCUCAGGAAUAAAAAAACAGUAGAAGUGUGCCUUAUUUCUGUCUCCCACUAUAUCUAGGGAUGUUCAUUGGUUCGGAUAUCAUUUUAUUGGGUUUACAAACUUUUUCGGGCCUAACUGAUAACGAAUCGGAACUAGAAAUAUGUCCAACCGAACCGAAUUCAAUUUCAACUGAUUAAACCGGUUAUUAUUUGUUUUACUCGAUUGGAUAAACAAGAUUUGUGGAGCUGAUAAGCAAACCAAAAACUGAACAAGCAAUUCGGCUACGGUUAGGAUCCAAACCGAAUAAACCGCAUUAUAAAGCCCCGAAACCAAAUCUCGAUUAUUCGUGCAUCCCCUUAUGUUUAGAUACCAUAUGACUCCUAUAACAUGUCAGAAUCGUUCCCAUAAAAAUAAUUGUUCAAACGUUGACCAAAACAACAAUCAUUAGUGAAGAGAAAUACAAAUAGGAAUUUUCUUUUGAUCUCACACUUAAAGCAAACAUUUAAGACAAAUUAAAAUCAGUAAGAGAUGGAUCAUCUAGCUAAUAUUCAUCAUCAUCAUCCUCCACAUAGUAUGCCUCCGGGUUAACCGGCUUGAACUUCUUUCCAACCAUACUCACUCCAACAUGCUCCUGUUGUUCAUUAUCAUUAUCCCCCUCAGCUCCAUCCGAUUCUCCCUUGUUACUCGGAUCUCGUUCAACAAUGGGGGUGAAUGUGGGCGCUUUUCUUUCACUAGCAACUUUGCUGGUGACUUCAUUUGCAGACAUGAU
rnacentral:lncRNA from 1 species